GAUUUAGGUAUAGGAUCUUGAGUCCUUAUGUUAUUUCUCGAGGCUUUUUAGUGUCUUUUCAGGUACUCUAUGCAGUGGGACAACAAUGGAGAUAAGGAGACAUUUUCGAGCAAGAGCUAAGGAAAAGGAAGCUAAGGACGAUUUUGGAUUCAGGAAUCAGCGAGGAGUGUCGAUCGACACACUCUUGGUGUCGAUCGACACCAGUUUCGGCCCAGCAAAAGUUCUAGACGCUUUUGAGUUUACAGAAGAGGAAAUUUUCCCCAGAAGAUUUCUCUAUUUGCAUUAUUAGUCCAUGGACGUUUUUAGGG
rnacentral:sRNA from 1 species